AACGAACGCUGGCGGCAUGCCUAACACAUGCAAGUCGAACGGGAUCCGAGCUUCGGUUCGGUGAGAGUGGCGGACGGGUGAGUAACGCGUGGGAACCUGCCCAGUGGUGGGGGAUAACUGCGGGAAACUGCAGCUAAUACCGCAUGAGCCCGAGAGGGGAAAGAUUUAUCGCCAUUGGAGGGGCCCGCGUUCGAUUAGGUAGUUGGUGAGGUAACGGCUCACCAAGCCUUCGAUCGAUAGCUGGUCUGAGAGGAUGAUCAGCCACACUGGGACUGAGAUACGGCCCAGACUCCUACGGGAGGCAGCAGUGGGGAAUAUUGGACAAUGGGCGCAAGCCUGAUCCAGCCAUGCCGCGUGUGUGAAGAAGGCCUUCGGUUGUAAGACACUUUUGUUUCGGGUAAGGAAAGUACGUACGGAGUUAAUAACUUU
rnacentral:rRNA from 1 species